CCCUCUCCCCCACACCCCCCACAGCGGAACCCUCCACUGGUGCCAUUGAAGACAAAGAAGAGGCGGUCGGGUGUGCAGCAGCAGCGGGGCGGUGGACUCCAAUGAUAUUGUCUUCCUCUAUACUCAGUGGUGGUGUUGUAGUGGUCCGAUGGAAAGGAGUGUUGGAAUAUGAGCCAAAGAAAUGAAAAUCAAUUCAAGAAAGAGUAAUUUUGGACAAAGACCAAAACAAGGCUAAAUGGGCAACAUGCGGACCGCACAAUAUUGAGUGCGGCCGUAAAAUAUGAAGAAAGCCUCUGACAGGAAGUCUUUGCAAAGUGUGGACCGCACAAUUAUUGUGCGGCCAUAGAAGAUAAAGUUCAGAGAGAUGGGAUUUUUGGAUCAUGAAGAAAUUCGGGUCGCACCAUUAUUGUAUGGUCACAGAAUCAAGAGCGUGGCCGCACUCAGAAAUGUGCGGCCCCCAAAAGUCUCCCAUUUCCAAAUCCCAAGGUCAAGAAGUGCAGACCACACCAUUAUUGUGCGGCCGCACUAAGAAAUGUGCGGUCCGUCGAAGUUGAUGAAGCACGGCCGCAACCCAGACUAGCCUAGUUCUUGCCUGAAUUUGAGAAUUAAUGGUUUCAAAUAUUAAUUCAUGCCUAAUUGACUUA